UACGGAGGGUGCAAGCGUUAAUCGGAAUUACUGGGCGUAAAGCGCACGCAGGCGGUCUGUUAAGUCAGAUGUGAAAUCCCCGGGCUUAACCUGGGAACUGCAUUUGAAACUGGCAGGCUUGAGUCUUGUAGAGGGGGGUAGAAUUCCAGGUGUAGCGGUGAAAUGCGUAGAGAUCGUGGAGGAAUACCGGUGGCGAAGGCGGCCCCCUGGACAAAGACUGACGCUCAGGUGCGAAAGCGUGGGGAGCAAACAGG
rnacentral:rRNA from 1 species